rnacentral:rRNA from 1 species
UACGUAGGUGGCAAGCGUUGUCCGGAAUUAUUGGGCGUAAAGCGCGCGCAGGCGGUCCUUUAAGUCUGAUGUGAAAGCCCACGGCUCAACCGUGGAGGGUCAUUGGAAACUGGGGGACUUGAGUACAGAAGAGAAGAGUGGAAUUCCACGUGUAGCGGUGAAAUGCGUAGAGAUGUGGAGGGACACCAGUGGCGAAGGCGACUCUUUGGUCUGUAACUGACGCUGAGGCGCGAAAGCGUGGGGAGCAAACAGG